rnacentral:rRNA from 1 species
AUUACGGGGCGCAGCAGGCGCGAAAACUUUACCAUGCGGGCAACCGUGAUAAGGAAACCCCGAGUGCCAGCACAGGCUGGCUGUCCACCAGUGUAAAUAACUGGUGAAGAAAGGGCCGGGCAAGACCGGUGCCAGCCGCCGCGGUAAUACCGGCGGCUCGAGUGGUGGCCGCUAUUACUGGGCUUAAAGGGUCCGUAGCUGGAUAUACAAGUCCCUUGAGAAAUCCGCCGGCUUAACCGGUGGGCGUUCAGGGGAAACUGUAUUUCUAGGGACCGGGAGAGGUGAGAGGUACUGCCGGGGUAGGAGUGAAAUCCUGUAAUCCCGGUGGGACCACCUAUGGCGAAGGCAUCUCACCAGAACGGGUCCGACAGUGAGGGACGAAAGCUGGGGGAGCAAACCGGAUUAGAUACCCGGGUAGUCCCAGCUGUAAACGAUGCGCGUUAGGUGUGUCAGUGACCACGUGUCACUGAGGUGCCGAAGGGAAACCGUGAAACGCGCCGCCUGGGGAGUACGGUCGCAAGGCUGAAACUUAAAGGAAUUGGCGGGGGAGCACAAU